UACGAAGGGGGCUAGCGUUGGCUCGGAUUCAUUGGGCGUAAAGGGUGUGGUAGGCGGCGCGGUAAGUCGGGUGUGAAAUCUUGGAGCUUAACUCCGAAACUGCAUUCGAUACUGCCGUGCUUGAGGACUGGAGAGGAGACUGGAAGUUUACGGUGUAAGCGGUGAAAUGCGUAGAUAAUCGUAAGGAAGACCAGUGGCGGAAAGGCGGGUCUCUGGACAGUUCCUGACGCUGAGGCACGAAGGCCAGGGGAGCAAACGGG
rnacentral:rRNA from 1 species